CAGCACCAGCAGUGUUUCCCCCCCACCUCCCCCCAUUCCCCGCAUCCCCCGUCGGGGUCCGUCGGCUCCGUGGCCUCAGGGCGGCGCUCGCUGGCCGGGAUCGGCCCCCGCUCCGCGCUACCUCCGCACCAGCGCUGCCAUCCGCGGUGCGGCCUUUGUUUGUUUCCUCUGCCAAGCCGAACACCAGCAUUUUAACCGAGCUUUUUUUGUGUUUUGAUUUUUCUUUCCCCCCCCAAACUUUAAGCGAAAGAAGGGAAAAAGCAAAGAGAGAAAGGUUUGUGAGUAAAAAUGAGAAAUUCUGUCUUAAAGAGGGUCGCGACUAAAGCUGUUUCUCUGAAGCCCUCUCCCCAAGGGAUGCCCUCAGACGUGAUCCAAGCAAAAGGGCUCUGUAAAGUCGGAAAUUCCGGGCUGGGAAUGCUCGAGGGUGAACUGGAAAUGCAGACGGUGUGCAGAAACGAAACGAUCCCACAGCUCAGCGAGAGAAUACUCCACAGAUGCGGCAAAUCUUCUAAAUUAAUCGAAUAAGACUUUAAGUCGCAACAGGAGCUUUGGGUGGAGCGGGUAAGGCUGAACCUCGAGAAAGAAUCCAGCAGCACUUAAAAGGGAGAAGGAAACGUUGGAUAGCAUUAAAGAAAAGGAGUUGGCAAAACACUUCCAGCAAACCUGCAGUCGGAUACGAGCAUCUACUUAUCCGACAUUAAACCUCUCUCUUCGCUAAGACUUUAUCGGUCCAACAAUUCAUUCGAUUUUUUUUUCCUAUUUUAUUUUUCAUGGGGAAAUCUGACCAAAAAUCUCAGUUUUAGUCUUCUUUUCUUUCUUUCUCCCCCCGAUUAAUCUUUUAAUUAUUUUUAGUUUAUACAUUUCAGGUUAUUUGGGAUUACGUUUAAAUCUCCGAAAAAAAAAUCAGUUAAGAAUGAAUAAAUUGAAGAGUAAUAUUGAUAAGAAUUCUAUGGAAAGACCCAACAGAAAUGCAUCCUUCUCUGGGUGUCCCCUUAAACAAAAUACCGCAUUUCUUCCUAUCCUACCAAUUUGUUGGAAAACUUAAUUAAGCUCGGCUACCUUCCAUUAUUUAUAUAAACCCUCCGUCCGGGAGACUUUAAGAGGUUUCUUCUCCGGUUUCCAACAUUGUUAUUAGAAAUCCAUAAAGCAGGGGAGGGGCAGGAAAUUAAAUUUAAAGGUACCUCAUUACGGCACAACUGCUUUCCUAUGGCAGCGGACGGAGACAACACAUGGCGGCAUAAAAGGCUGAGUCCCCCCAGCACGUAGACUUGGCAAUCCUCUCGAAAUGACCUUUUAAUUCCAAGCCUAGCAAGCUUCCGUCCACACAGCGGGCUCUAAGAGUCGGCAGAGAGGGGAGGAAAAUAAACUAAAAUAGAAGAGAGGACACCGAUGCGAAUGGAAGAGCCACGCAGAUGGAAAGCGUGGGGCGGAUGGUGGAGCCUCCAGCAGAACGGACACCUCGAAAUCCCCAAUUGCGGUGGGUGCGAAGCCACGUCAUCCCAGAGCCGACUGAGGACAGAGGUUAUGCGGCACCGGGGAAGCUGCGGGCCCGGAGGGGUGGCUGGGUGCGGGACCCCCGGUGCCGGCUGCUGCCGACCCUUUUGCACCCCCAAAGGAGGUGCGAGGGGGGAAACAUCCCCUCAUCCCCCUCCUUUAGAGCUAAGGAGCCGAGGGUGGGUGGCGGAGAGGGGAGUGCUGGGAGCUGCCGGGUGACUGGUGGGCUCCGGCUUUGCGAAAACGG
ensembl:lncRNA